rnacentral:rRNA from 1 species
CCUACGGGGGGCAGCAGUGGGGAAUAUUGGGCAAUGGGCGCAAGCCUGACCCAGCAACGCCGCGUGAAGGAAGAAGGCUUUCGGGUUGUAAACUUCUUUUCUCAGGGACGAAGCAAGUGACGGUACCUGAGGAAUAAGCCACGGCUAACUACGUGCCAGCAGCAGCGGUAAUCCGUAGGUGGCAAGCGUUAUCCGGAUUUACUGGGUGUAAAGGGCGUGUAGGCGGGACGGUAAGUCAGAUGUGAAAACCACGGGCUCAACCUGUGGCCUGCAUUUGAAACUGUAGGUCUUGAGUACUGGAGAGGCAGACGGAAUUCGUAGUGUAGCGGUGAAAUGCGUAGAUAUCAGGAGGAACACCAGUGGCGAAGGCGGUCUGCUGGACAGCAACUGACGCUGAGGCGCGAAAGCGUGGGUAGCAAACAGGAUUAGAUACCCUGGUAGUC